rnacentral:rRNA from 1 species
AUACGUAGGGGGCAAGCGUUGUCCGGAAUUACUGGGCGUAAAGAGCUCGUAGGCGGCUCAGCGAGUCGGUCGUGAAAGCCCGAGGCUCAACCUCGGAACUGCGGUCGAUACUGCUGUGGCUCGAGUCCGGUAGAGGAGAGUGGAAUUCCCGGUGUAGCGGUGGAAUGCGCAGAUAUCGGGAGGAACACCAGUGGCGAAGGCGGCUCUCUGGGCCGGUACUGACGCUGAGGAGCGAAAGCGUGGGGAGCAAACAGGAUUAGAAACCCUAGUAGUCC